UACGGGGGGGACAAGCGUUGUUCGGAAUUACUGGGCGUAAAGGGCUCGUAGGUGGCCAACUAAGUCACACGUGAAAUCCCUCGGCUUAACCGGGGAACUGCGUGUGAUACUGGAUGGCUUGAAUCCGGGAGAGGGAUGCAGAAUUCCAGGUGUAGCGGUGAAAUGCGUAGAUAUCUGGAGGAAUACCGGUGGCGAAGGCGGCAUCCUGGACCGGCAUUGACGCUGAGGAGCGAAAGCUAGGGGAGCAAACGGG
rnacentral:rRNA from 1 species